UACGUAGGGUGCAAGCGUUGUCCGGAAUUAUUGGGCGUAAAGAGCUCGUAGGUGGCCUGUCGCGUCGGCUGUGAAAACUCGGGGCUCAACUCCGAGCUUGCAGUCGAUACGGGCAGGCUAGAGUUCGGCAGGGGAGACUGGAAUUCCUGGUGUAGCGGGUGAAAAUGCGCAGAUAUCAGGAGGAACACCGGUGGCGAAGGCGGGUCUCUGGGCCGAUACUGACACUGAGGAGCGAAAGCGUGGGGAGCGAACAGG
rnacentral:rRNA from 1 species